rnacentral:tRNA from 1 species
GGGGGUAUAGCUCAGUUGGGAGAGCGCUUGAAUGGCAUUCAAGAGGUCAGGGGUUCGAUUCCCCUUACCUCCACCA